UACGUAGGGGGCGAGCGUUGUCCGGAUUUAUUGGGCGUAAAGAGCUCGUAGGCGGCUUUGCAAGUCGGGUGUGAAAGCCCGGGGCUUAACUCCGGGUCUGCAUUCGAUACGGGCAGGCUAGAGUUCGGUAGGGGAGAUCGGAAUUCCUGGUGUAGCGGUGAAAUGCGCAGAUAUCAGGAGGAACACCGGUGGCGAAGGCGGAUCUCUGGGCCGAUACUGACGCUGAGGAGCGAAAGCGUGGGGAGCGAACAGG
rnacentral:rRNA from 1 species